rnacentral:rRNA from 1 species
UACGUAGGGGGGCAAGCGUUACCCGGAUUCACUGGGCGUAAAGCGCGUGUAGGCGGCUAAGUAAGUCGGGCGUGAAAUCCCACGGCUCAACCGUGGAAGUGCACUCGAAACUGCAUAGCUAGAGUCCUGGAGAGGAAGGUGGAAUGCUUGGUGUAGAGGUGAAAUUCGUAGAUAUCAAGCGGAACACCGGUGGCGAAGGCGGCCUUCUGGACAGUGACUGACGCUGAGACGCGAAAGCGUGGGGGAGCAAACAGGG